rnacentral:rRNA from 1 species
GAUGAACGCUGGCGGCGUGCUUAACACAUGCAAGUCGAACGAACCUUCGGGUUAGUGGCGGACGGGUGAGUAACGCGUGAGAAUCUGCCCUCAGGAGGGGGACAACAGCUGGAAACGGCUGCUAAUACCCCAUAUGCCGCGAGGUGAAAUGAAUUUCGCCUGAGGAUGAGCUCGCGUCUGAUUAGCUAGUUGGUGUAGGUAAUGGCUCACCAAGGCAUCGAUCAGUAGCUGGUCUGAGAGGAUGAUCAGCCACACUGGGACUGAGACACGGCCCAGACUCCUACGGGAGGCAGCAGUGGGGAAUUUUCCGCAAUGGGCGAAAGCCUGACGGAGCAACGCCGCGUGAGGGAUGAAGGCCUCUGGGCUGUAAACCUCUUUUAUCAAGGAAGAAGAUCUGACGGUACUUGAUGAAUAAGCCUCGGCUAAUUCCGUG